UGGGGAUGUAGUGGUAUUUGAUACAACAUACAAGAAGAAUCGAUAUCACUUCCCGUUUGGUCCCUUUACCGGAGUAAAUCAUCAUGGUCAAAGUAUUUUGUUUGGAUGUGGGUUGAUAGCUGAUGAGACAAUUGAGUCGUUUAUUUGGUUAUUCUCUACGUGGUUAAAAGCAAUGGGGGAUCGACCACCAGU